CCACAGGUUUAGCUUCACCUCAAAGGCAUCUCAUAAAGUAAUCUCACCCUUAUCUUGAGCGCACCAUUUAUGUGUCAAUUGGGCUGCUGCUGGAUUCUUUCAUCUAGGAAUUUAUGUACAACUUUUGAGUCCGAUGAAGAUUAUAUUACUGAAUGAAAUGCCCUCUCCGUUUGCUUAGUUGAGGAGUUUGAUAGGCUGAGCAACUGCUCCCUUCCUUUUGCUGUCUUCUUGGACUUCAGGUAUUUUUGAACUUUCAAAUUGUUCUUGUUUUACUGUGCUUAUGUUUUUUUUUUUUGGGGGCUUUUUGAUAGAAGCUCAAAUUAGUUAUGUUGAUUAAACUUAUUUGUCUCUUAUACUGAUAAAGGUUUUUAUGCUUUUAGUUAUUGCCUGACUUGCUUUAGGUCUUGACGAUAUUAAUCCAUGUAGAUAUUUGAAUUAACAUUUUAUUAUUAGAAGGAUAAUCUUUUUCUAACUGCUGGCACUUCCAGGUACUAAUAGAUGGUCGCAUCUGUUUGUUCAUGUCCAUCUGAAGAAGUCUAUGGUGUUGUUGUUUCGUUUGAUUGGCCAUGUUGAGUUAGAAUCCGUGGCUUUUACAACAGAACAGUUUAAGUUGGUCAUGGUCUAAUACAAGUCUAGUUACAUGGAUUCCUAAGCACCUUUUAUUACCAGCUUGAUUCAUACUCAUGAUGUUUCCUUUGGCCUUCCGAGGAAUGACAAAAUGUUCAACCUAAAUUUCUGUUUUCUACUUGUAAUUUCUCGUCAUUUGAUUUGUCAUGUUCACAACUAAGGCUUCGUUUGGGAUGGCUUUUUAACUGCUUAAAACAGUUUUUUUAGCACAAAAUUUUUAAUUUUUUACUAAAAAACUGUUUUAAGAAACAAGAAGAAAGCCAUCCCAAAUAAAGCUUAAGUCAGAUAUCUAGAAGUUAUUGUGCUGAAAAGUUAGACAUUGUGACAGAUAUAUCUUUAUCAUCUCUCUAUCUCCUUGUUUAUGAACGAUCUUAGUGGUUGGUGCCCAUCAUGCUUUAUAAAACUUUAUUUCUCUUUCAUUAUUACAUCUAUCUUUUCUCCAGCAGUAACUGCUAACAAAUUCCUUUGUUCAACCAUCACAUCACCCUCAUCAUUAUUUUCUUGAUGGCCCUGGGAAAUUUUUAUUUUCCGAUUCAAACUAAUGCAUUUGGUAUGUUUAUAUCUGCUGUCAUAUCUAAUGCUUCCUUACAAGAUAUGUAUUAAGUUCUCGAUCAAGAAAAAAAAAAAAUUCUGCAGUUGUAUAGCACUUAAUGUCCGGUACUUGAAUUGCCACAUCAUGACAUCAAAUCUUCAAUCAUUCGGUGAUGUUUAUGCUUCAUUGAAUCCAGAGAACCUUGCUUGCUUGUGCCAAUUUACAAUCAUAAAUAUAAUUCAAUCUAUUGUUCAUAUUCUUGAGUGUUUUUUGGUCCAUGAAGGCUUAUUUUCAGGGAGAUAUACAGCCUUACAAGCUUGGUUGGGUUUUGCUGGGGUCUUAAAGCAAGGGUUCUUCUCUACAAAAUAGUGGAAAUAUGCAUACCCUUCAAAUGAUUUCUGUUGUUUCUUGUGGAUCAUGAAGUUAUUUUUCUUACACAGGAAGUGUGUAUUAUGUAUUAUGUCCGCCAGCUCUGCUGAAUGGUUUCUGUGAUGAAUUUAGCCGUUAGUCUGGAAUAAUUAUAUUCCUUGUUAAAUGUUUAAUGAGGAAUAUAUAGUAUGUGCACACAAAAUAAAUUUAGUUCUCAACCUAAGCUUGCACUAGCUUGUGAUGAAUUGGCUCAGCUCUAACAACCUUUUACUUGGUUGGCUCAGCUCAUUGUUAGUCUUAAGCAAAUGAUGUCGUUUUUAUUAAGUUAGACCUCACCAUUUUUUUUU